UACAGAGGUCUCAAGCGUUGUUCGGAUUCAUUGGGCGUAAAGGGUGUGUAGGUGGCGCGCUAAGUCGGGUGUGAAAUUUCGGAGCUUAACUCCGAAACUGCAUUCGAUACUGGCGUGCUUGAGGACUGGAGAGGAGACUAGGAAUUCAUGGUGUAGCAGUGAAAUGCGUAGAGAUCAUGAGGAAGACCAGUGGCGAAGGCGGGUCUCUGGACAGUUCCUGACACUGAGACACGAAGGCCAGGGGAGCAAACGGG
rnacentral:rRNA from 1 species